GGCUGAGAGAGAAGCAGCAUCAAACUCCAGCUUCUGUCUGCAGAUCUGAGGAUUCUGUAAAGAGACAACAUUACCCUCACAAGACUGACAGAUUCAGAGCUCCUCCUCUUCUCUCCUCC